GACGAACGCUGGCGGCGUGCCUAAUACAUGCAAGUAGAACGCUGAAGGAGGAGCUUGCUCUUCUGGAUGAGUUGCGAACGGGUGAGUAACGCGUAGGUAACCUGCCUGGUAGCGGGGGAUAACUAUUGGAAACGAUAGCUAAUACCGCAUAACAGUAGAUGUUGCAUGACAUUUGCUUAAAAGGUGCAAUUGCAUCACUACCAGAUGGACCUGCGUUGUAUUAGCUAGUUGGUGGGGUAACGGCUCACCAAGGCGACGAUACAUAGCCGACCUGAGAGGGUGAUCGGCCACACUGGGACGGAGACACGGCCCAGACGCCUACGGGAGGCAGCAGUAGGGAAUCUUCGGCAAUGGACGGAAGUCUGACCGAGCAACGCCGCGUGAGGGAAGAAGGGUUUCGGAUCGUAAAGCUCGGUUGUAAGAGAAGAACGAGUGUGAGAGUGGAAAGUUCACACUGUGACGGUAUCUGACCAGAAAGGGACGGCUAACUACGUG
rnacentral:rRNA from 1 species